rnacentral:lncRNA from 1 species
CCAACAAAAAAUUGGAAAAACACAAUCAUCAACAUCACUGUACAUCAGAAAAAACACAUAACUUAUAUAGCUUAUAUAUAACAAUAUAUUACUACGAGUUACUACACGUGACUAUAUAUGACUACACAUGACUAUAUAUGACUACAUGUAUAUGACUACACGUGACUAUAUAUGACUGCACAUGACUAUAUAUGACUACAUGUAUAUGACUACACGUGACUAUAUAUGACUACAUGUAUAUGACUAUACGUGACUAUAUAUGACUACAUAUACAUGUAUGACCAUAUGUGACUAUAUAUAACUACAUAUGACUACAUGUAUAUGACCAUAUGUGACUAUAUAUAACUACAUAUGACUACAUGUAUAUGACCAUAUGUGACUAUAUAUACCUACAUAUGACUACCUAUAUGAGUAUAGUCUUUUUCUUAUUUUUGAGUAAAUAUGAGUAUAGUCGUAUAUAGUGUAAUUUGGAUUUAUAUCUUCAAAUCCCACAUUUCAACCCGACAACAGCUCCGAUCUAUCGAAUGCAAAAGAGUUGUUUCGAAUUGAAGAACACCAUGUCCUCUCGGCAAAAACUUGGUGCAUAUAAGUUGUGCAAACACCAAAC